AAGGAGUCUAACAUUUAUGCGAGUGUUUGGGUGUCAAACCCUCACGCGUAAUGAAAGUGAACGGAGGUGAGAGCCCUUACGGGUGCAUCAUCGACCGAUCCUGAUGUCUUCGGAUGGAUUUGAGUAAGAGCAUAACUGUUGGGACCCGAAAGAUGGUGAACUAUGCGUGGAUAGGGUGAAGCCAGGAGAAAUUCUGGUGGAGGCUCGCAGCGGUUCUGACGUGCAAAUCGAUCGUCAAAUCUGGGUAUGGGGGCGAAAGACUAAUCGAACCAUCUAGUAGCUGGUUCCCGC
rnacentral:misc_RNA from 1 species